rnacentral:rRNA from 1 species
GGAUUAGGCAUGCAAGUCGAACGAAUCCCCGGAGCUUGCUCCGGGGGGAAGUGGCGAAAGGGGCAGUAAUGCGUGGGUAACCUACCCUGGGGACGAGGAUAGCCGUUCUAACGGACGGGUAAUACUCGGCGAUUCGGCGACGGGACAUCCCGAUGCCGGGAAAUGAGUUUCGCCUCGGGAGGGGCUCACGUGAUAUUAGCUUGUUGGUGAGGUAACGGCUCACCAAGGCGAAGAUGUCUAGCGGGUGUGAGAGCACGACCCGCGCCACUGGCACUGAGACACUGGCCAGACUCCUACGGGAGGCUGCAGUCGAGGAUCUUCGGCAAUGGGCGCAAGCCUGACCGAGCGACGCCGCGUGUGCGAUGAAGGCCUUCGGGUUGUAAAGCACUGUCGAGGGGGAGGAAGCCGCAAGGUUGACCUAUCCCUGGAGGAAGCACGGGCUAAGUUCGUGCCAGCAGCCGCGGUAAGACAAACCGUGCGAACGUUAUUCGGAAUCACUGGGCUUAAAGGGCGCGUAGGCGGGCGGGCAAGUCUGCGGUGAAAGCCUCCAGCUCAACUGGAGAAGUGCCGUGGAUACUGCUGGUCUCGAGGAGGGUAGGGGCAUCUGGAACGUUGGGUGGAGCGGUGAAAUGCGUUGAUAUCCAACGGAACUCCGGUGGCGAAGGCGAGGUGCUGGACCCUUUCUGACGCUGAGGCGCGAAAGCCAGGGGAGCGAACGGGAUUAGAUACCCCGGUAGUCCUGGCCCUAAACGUUGAGAACUAGGUAGUGGACUUAACAUGGGUUCACUGUCGAAGCAAAAGUGCUAAGUUCUCCGCCUGGGGAGUAUGGUCGCAAGGC